rnacentral:rRNA from 1 species
GACGAACGCUGGCGGCGUGCCUAAUACAUGCAAGUAGGACGCAGUUGCGAACGGGUGAGUAACGCGUAGGUAACUACCUAUUAGAGGGGGAUAACUAUUGGAAACGAUAGCUAAUACCGCAUACUAGUAGAUGGAUCUGCGUUGUAUUCGCUAGUAGGGAGGGUAAUGGCCUACCUAGGCAACGAGACAUAGCCGACCUGAGGAGGUGAUCGGCCAAACUGGGACUGAGACACGGCCCAGGCUCCUACGGGAGGCAGCAGUAGGGAAUCUUCGGAAAUGGGGGGAACCCUGACCGAAGAACGGCGCGUGGGUGAAGAAGGUUUUCGGGUCGUAAAGCUCUGUUGUUAAGGAAGCGGUACUUAACCAGAAAGGGACGGCUAACUACGUGCCAGCAGCCGCGGUAAUUC